rnacentral:rRNA from 1 species
AUUGAACGCUGGCGGCAUGCUUUACACAUGCAAGUCGAACGGUAACAGGCCUUCGGGUGCUGACGAGUGGCGAACGGGUGAGUAAUGCAUCGGAACGUGCCCAAUCGUGGGGGAUAACGUAGCGAAAGUUACGCUAAUACCGCAUAAGCCCUGAGGGGGAAAGUGGGGGACCGCAAAGGCCUCACGCGAAUGGAGCGGCCGAUGUCAGAUUAGCUAGUUGGUGGGGUAAAGGCCCACCAAGGCGACGAUCUGUAGCGGGUCUGAGAGGAUGAUCCGCCACACUGGGACUGAGACACGGCCCAGACUCCUACGGGAGGCAGCAGUGGGGAAUUUUGGACAAUGGGCGGCAAGCCUGAUCCGAGCCAUGCCGCGUGCGGGACGAA